GACGAACGCUGGCGGCGUGCUUAACACAUGCAAGUCGAACGGAAAGGCCCUGCUCUUGUGGGGUGCCCGAGUGGCGAACGGGUGAGUAUCACGCGAGUAACCUGUCCUUGACUUUGGGAUAACUUCAGGAAACUGGGGCUAAUAUCGGAUAGGAGCUCCUGCUGCACGGUGGGGGUUGGAAAGUUUCGGCGGUUGGGGAUGGACUCGCGGCUUAUCAGCUUGUUGGUGGGGUAGUGGCUUACCAAGGCUUCGACGGGUAGCCGGCCUGGGAGGGUGACCGGCCACAUUGGGACUGAGGUACGGCCCAGACGGCUACGGGAGGCAGCGGUGGGGAAUAUGGCACAAUGGGCGGAAGCCUGAUACAGCAACGCCGCGUGCGGGAUAACGGCCUUCGGGUUAUAAACCGCUUUCGACUGUGACGAAGCGUGAGUGACGGUAAUGGGUAAAGAAGCAACGGCUAACUACGUG
rnacentral:rRNA from 1 species